rnacentral:rRNA from 1 species
GGACGGGUGAGUAACGCGUGAGAAUCUGCCCUCAGGACGGGGACAACAGCUGGAAACGGCUGCUAAUACCCGAUGUGCCGAGGGGUGAAACAUUUAUGGCCUGAGGAUGAGCUCGCGUCUGAUUAGCUAGUUGGUGGGGUAAAAGCCUACCAAGGCGACGAUCAGUAGCUGGUCUGAGAGGAUGAUCAGCCACACUGGGACUGAGACACGGCCCAGACUCCUACGGGAGGCAGCAGUGGGGAAUUUUCCGCAAUGGGCGCAAGCCUGACGGAGCAAGACCGCGUGCGGGAGGACGGCCUAUUGGUUGUAAACCGCUUUUGAUAGGGAAGAAGUUCUGACGGUACCUAUCGAAUCAGCAUCGGCUAACUCCGUGCCAGCAGCCGCGGUAAUACGGAGGAUGCAAGCGUUAUCCGGAAUUAUUGGGCGUAAAGCGUCCGUAGGUGGUUGUUCAAGUCUGCUGUUAAAGCGUGCGGCUUAACCGCAUACCAGCAGUGGAAACUGGGCAACUAGAGUGCGGUAGGGGUCAGGGGAAUUCCCAGUGUAGCGGUGAAAUGCGUAGAUAUUGGGAAGAACACCCGCGGCG